AGCAAUACUCAGUGGCAGACGGGUGAGUAACAUGUAGGUAUCUGCCCUUUGGCCUGGAAUAACACGAGGAAACUUGUGCUAAUACCGGAUAAGUCUUUACGGAGAAAGCUUUAUGCACCAUUGGAUGAGCCUGCACUUGAUUAGUUUGUUGGUAGGGUAAUGGCCUACCAAGACUGUGAUCAAUAGCUGAUUUGAGAGGAUGAUCAGCCACAUUGGGACUGAGACACGGCCCAAACUCCUACGGGAGGCAGCAGUGGGGAAUCUUGCACAAUGGAGGAAACUCUGAUGCAGCGAUGCCGCGUGAGUGAAGAAGGCCCUUGGGUUGUAAAGCUCUUUCGUCGGGGAAGAAAAUGACUGUACCCGAAUAAGAAGGUCCGGCUAACUUCGUGCCAGCAGCCGCGGUAAUACGAAGGGACCUAGCGUAGUUCGGAAUUACUGGGCUUAAAGAGUUCGUAGGUGGUUGAAAAAGUUGGUGGUGAAAUCCCAGAGCUUAACUCUGGAACUGCCAUCAAAACUUUUCAGCUAGAGUUUGAUAGAGGAAAGCAGAAUUUCUAGUGUAGAGGUGAAAUUCGUAGAUAUUAGAAAGAAUACCAAUUGCGAAGGCAGCUUUCUGGAUCAUUACUGACACUGAGGAACGAAAGCAUGGGUAGCGAAGAGGAUUAGAUACCCUCGUAGUCCAUGCCGUAAACGAUGUGUGUUAGACGUUGGAAAUUUAUUUUCAGUGUCGCAGCGAAAGCGAUAAACACACCGCCUGGGGAGUACG
rnacentral:rRNA from 1 species